rnacentral:tRNA from 2 species
GUCCUUAGAGCUAUACGGUGCAGCGAAGAACUGUUAAUUCUUAGAGAGCUGGUUCGACUCCAGUUAGGGACU